rnacentral:rRNA from 1 species
CCUACGGGUGGCUGCAGUGGGGAAUAUUGGACAAUGGGGGGAACCCUGAUCCAGCGACGCCGCGUGCGUGAAGAAGUAUUUCGGUAUGUAAAGCUCUAUCAGCAGGGAAGAAAGAAAUGACGGUACCUGACUAAGAAGCCCCGACUAACUACGUGCCAGCAGCCGCGGUAAUACGUAGGGGCAAGCGUUAUCCGGAUUUACUGGGUGUAAGGGGAGCGUAGACGGCCAUGCAAGUCUGAAGUGAAAGGCGGGGGCCCAACCCCCGAAUUGCAGUGGAAACUGUAUGGCUGGAGUGCAGGAGAGGAAGGUGGAAUUCAUGGUGUAGCGGUGAAAUGCGUAGAUAUCAUGAAGAACACCAGUGGCGAAGGCGGGUUACUGGAGUGUAACUGACGUUGAGGCUCGAAAGUGUGGGGAGCAAACAGGAUUAGAUACCCUAGUAGUC